rnacentral:tRNA from 1 species
GCCGGAGUGGCGGAAUUGGUAGACGCAGUUGAUUCAAAAUCAACCGCCUUCGGGUGUGCCGGUUCGAUUCCGGCCUUCGGCACCA